GUAGUAAGCAACAGCAUGCAAUGAGUAGCAACACCUUCAGCCAGGAUUUCCAAAAUUCUCCAGUAAUCUGAGAUGUCUCUCUGUGACUAUGCUAAGAGAAGAGAAUCAUAUGUAAACUUUCUUAUUUUUUGCUGAAUUGUGUACAAGAAUCAACUUUUUUAGUAGAUAGAGUCUGCUUUCAAUUCCAAUAUGAUGAGGAAAGAGAACCUGUAGAAUGAUUAAACGUG